AUGGUGACUUAACGCCGAAGCUGCCCCGUCUAAGUUUGGCCCUNACACACCUCUGUGAGCCUGAAUAGGACGUGUCAGCCGUGAUGGCUCCAGACAUACCGUCUGACAGCUGCAUCACCAGGGUUCUGUGGGAAACCACCGGGCCUCCCGCAUUUGGAAAGGUGUAGAGAGAUGAAUACA
rfam:Thalassolituus sp. HI0120 HI0120_c184, whole genome shotgun sequence.